rnacentral:rRNA from 1 species
CCCUUAGAUGUUCUGGGCUGCACGCGUGCUACAAUGGCGUUUCCAGCAAGUCUGCGAACCCGAGAGGGCCAGCGGAUCUUCGAAUUGGCGUCGUGAUCGGGACAGUCGAUUGCAAUUAUUUGACUCAAACGAGGAAUUCCUUGUAAUCGCGAUUCAUCAUAUCGCGCUGAAUACGUCCCUGCCCUUUGUACACACCGCCCGUCGCUCCUACCGAUUGAGCGAUCCGGUAAAUGUUUUGGAUUGGUGCCGGGGCGGCUAGCUGCCGGUCGCUACGAAAUUUUGUGAACCUUAUCGCCUAGAGGAAGGAGAAGUCGUAACA